ACUUAAUUGGCUUAGUCAGUAAAGAGUCUGUCUGCAAUGCAGAAGACCUGGGUUUGAUCCCUGGGUUGGGAA
rnacentral:tRNA from 1 species